rfam:Laetiporus sulphureus 93-53 unplaced genomic scaffold LAESTscaffold_47, whole genome shotgun sequence.
GGCCGUCUGGCGAAAUGGCAUCGCGUCUGACUACGACAAAGCUGGUGACUCGGCUUACGUAAUAUCAGGAGAUUGCAGGUUCGACCCCUGCGUCGGUCA